UACGGAGGGUCCAAGCGUUAUCCGGAAUCAUUGGGUUUAAAGGGUCCGUAGGCGGUUUUGUAAGCCAGUGGUGAAAGCCCAUCGCUCAACGGUGGAACGGCCAUUGAUACUGCAAGACUUGAAUUAUUGGGAAGUAACUAGAAUAUGUAGUGUAGCGGUGAAAUGCUUAGAGAUUACAUGGAAUACCAAUUGCGAAGGCAGGUUACUACCAAUAUAUUGACGCUGAUGGACGAAAGCGUGGGGAGCGAACAGG
rnacentral:rRNA from 1 species